rnacentral:lncRNA from 1 species
GUGGGGUCUGUGGUUUCCAAGCCAAAUUGACAAAUGUUUGUGGAGUGAAGAUUCCAUGCUCAGCCCUGGGAAGAUUCCAUUUCUGUGCCUCCCACACUCUACUCCAGCCAUUUGGAAUGGGUAUCAGAAGCCGCCUGCACCAGUUUCAGCAUGUACUCUAUGUCCCCACAAAUUUGGAAGUGGAUUUUGUGAUUGAGCCUGUGAGACAUUGUGGUGAGGAUGUGAAAGAGAAAGUGGAGCAUCCAUCAAGGCAAAUGUUGGUUGCUUCUUCCUUUGUCUCUCCUACUACAAAGAACAGUAUGGUAGUUACUUAAAAACAAAGGAAUAAAGAGAAAUUAUGAGGGUUUUUGGUUUUUUUU